rnacentral:misc_RNA from 1 species
GUCCAAUAUUUUCGCAGAAAAACAGAGGGUUUAAGCGGCAGUUGGUAAGAGAUUUGAGUGUGAGGGAUGGGUAAUCCAAAGCAGAAAUGGACAUCGGAGGAAGAAGAAGCACUUCGUGCCGGCGUUGCAAAGCACGGAGCUGGAAAAUGGAAGAACAUUCAAAGAGACCCCGAAUUCAACCACCUCCUUUACUCUCGCUCCAAUAUCGAUCUUAAGGAU